rnacentral:lncRNA from 1 species
CCUAGCCGCCCCUUCCCCUAAUUCCCUUCCCCUUGUGCAGCCGCCCCCCCCCCCUCUCUAGCCUUUGGCCGCCAUCCCCUCCCCCUAAUUCCCUCUCUCUUGUGCAGCAGCCCCCAUCCCCUCAACCCUAGCCGCCACCCCCUCCCAUCUCCUCCUCUCCAAGUGAUGUCCUUCCUCGCCGGAUCUUCUUCGUGUGGGUGCAAGUUCCGAUUGGAGAAUUGGUGGGAGGAAGGAAGGAGGAAAGGAGGAACCCAAGGUGAUUUUGUGAUUAACUCUUGUUUAUUUGUGCUGCAAUUCAAUCGAUUAGAUGUUUACGUAUGCGAAUUGGUAGAGGUGCUGUCCAGAAAUUUUGUGGGUGCGCGAACAGCAGUAGUUCUAGCAGAUUCUGGGAAUUUUUCGUGGGUAAUUAGUGGGAAUCAGUGGGAGAAUCAUGUAGAGCUUUUUCAUACCUUUCCAACGAUUACUUAUGCACUCGAUUCGGAGUUAUAUUUUAGGAGAUAUUGCUGUUUGAAUCCGGGUAUGUUGCUGUCCAAAAAAACAGAUUUGCAGGUGGGCAAACAGCAGUAGUAUUAGCAGUUUCUGGGGAUUUUUCGUGGGAAAUUGGUGAUAAUCAAUAUGAGAAUCAUGUAGAGCUUUUUCAUACCUUUCCAACGAGUACUUAUGCGCUCGAUUCGGAGUUAUAUUUUAGGAGAUAUCGCUGUUUAAAUCCGGGUAUGUUGCUGUCCAAAAAAACAGAUUUGCAGGUGGGCAAACAGCAGUAGUAUUAGCAGUUUCUGGGGAUUUUUCGUGGGAAAUUGGUGAUAAUCAAUAUGAGAAUCAUGUAGAGCUUUUUCAUACCUUUCCAACGAGUACUUAUGCGCUCGAUUCGGAGUUAUAUUUUAGGAGAUAUCGCUGUUUGAAUCCGGGUAUGUUGCUGUCCAAAAAAACAGAUUUGCAGGUGGGCAAACAGCAGUAGUAUUAGCAGUUUCUGGGGAUUUUUCGUGGAAACUUAGUGAUAAUCAAUAUGAGAAUCAUUUAGAGCUUUGUCAUACCUUUCCAACGAUUACUUAUGCACUCGAUUCGGAGUUAUAUUUUAGGAGAUAUUGCUGUUUGAAUCCGGGUAUGUUGCUGUCCAAAAAAAACAGAUUUAUACAGGUGGGCGAACAGCAGUAGUAUUAGCAGUUUCUGGGAAUUUUUCGUGGGAAAUUGGUGAUAAUCAAUAUGAGAAUCAUGUAGAGCCUUGUCAUACCUUUCCAACGAGUACUUAUGCGUUCGAUUCGGAGUUAUAAUUUAGGAGAUAUUGCUGUUUGAAUCCGGUUAUGUUGCUGUCCAAAAACAGAUUGCAGGGUGUAUCUUGUAGACGAGUUUGGGCUAAUUAGAUGCUGGAAUUUAAUUAUUAUUUGAAUAUAAAACUUGUGGGAAAUUUUAUGUAGAUGCUUCCGUAGUUUUUGAUUGAUAUCACUGCUGUUAUAAUUUUAAAGUUAUGAAAUUAUCAAGCAGCACCGCUGCAGUUUGGUGGUGAUGGGGAGAGUUGUCGCUCGCAACGGGUUGGAAUUGUGCGUAGGUGCGGCGUUGUUUAUUAGCGUUUGUUAUGUUGAUUUGUACACUAAGGUGUGUGUCAAAAACAGGUGGUGGACUUCCGGAUCGUACUUAGUACCAUUCCAAAUUCCCGGUGAAGGCAAGUAAAUACAGUGGUGGUUGCUACCGUUUGGUUUGCAUCCUAUGCCUUGUCAUUGAGUAUGCAUAAGUAUUAAAUGUGUUAAUCAUUGAAUUCUAUGAUGAAGUUUAUUUGUUCGAAAGAAUUAAUUCUCAAUUGUCUAAUAUUGAGGAUGAUCAUGAUUUGGGAAUGAUAUAUGUGGUUGAUUCCCAUCUUGGAUGAAGUUGAAGUAUCUCUUUGAAUCAUGUUGUAUGAAGUGUUGUAGGCAUGUCAUGCACAUCGCAUCAUCCAUAUUGCAUUUUGAAGUUAUGUCGUGAUCUUAUGGUCCGACCGUACCGGUACACUUUUAGCAUCGUACGUUGCCCGAGGAGGGGUACGAUGCGGCUUCAUAUCCUUAGAGGUAUGAAGGCAGAAGUCAUCCUUGCAUUUGCAGACAUUUGCACUCAUGAGGUAUAUAUGAAGUGUGACAUUACUAUGUUACUAUUGUGGUUUCUACCUGUGAGGUGUGGUAACUAGGUGUGUUGUACGUUGUAUUCGUGCUGCACCUUCGUAAUAAGAAGGUUGCGAAAUCAAAUGGUGGUAAAACAAUGUUCUUAUGUGGUUAAACAGUUUGUUAUUAUUUUACUUGCUGAGAUGUGUCAUCUCACUCUUGCAUUACUCAAUGCAGGUACUUGAUAUAUGUUGGGAAUGAGGGGAGUAGCAGCACGUCCACUUUCACUCUCAUAUUAAAGCUGCCCAAGCGCAUCCAUGAUUUAAUUAGAAACUUGAUGUCAAAGGAUGUUUGUUUUUUUUUACUAGUCAUGCGCACUGGUUAAUUCAGUUCAUGUCGUAUGUUUAACUUUCCUUUGCUAGCCGUUUAAUAAUACUUAGUAUGUUUUUUUUGUCAUGAUACAUGUUUAUACACUGUUGCCCCCUCCUUUAUGCUAUUUUGCAAAGGAGAUGCUGUCGAAAUUUUAUAUACGGAUGUCAGAAGUGUAGUUCAGUAGCAUUCCGGGGUGUUUGUGGAUUCCGGGAUGUUACACUGACGGUGACCCGCACACCGUUGUGAUCCCCGAAACCUCCCCUACGUCCUCGACCACUUCACCGGAGCCAUCUCGCCGUCGGUAAGCCCCUCCGCCGUUUCUUCCGCCGCGGUUACUGUUUAAGUUAGAAGAAGGACCUCGGGUUAGGAUUUGUAGAACCCGAGGGGUUUUCUGUAACGUUAGUGACCCAUGUGAAUAGUAGCCUAAGGACUGAUCCGCGAAGAAAACUUAGAAUACCCGCCAGGGACCCCAGUGCAAAGUGGAUUUCCAUUUAAUCAAUUCUGUUAAUCUUUUUAAAUGACCAGAGAACUUAGAAAAUCCAUAACUUGAU